rnacentral:tRNA from 1 species
GCGGAAGUGGCGGAAUUGGUAGACGCACCAGAUUUAGGUUCUGGCGCCGCAAGGUGUGAGAGUUCAAGUCUCUCCUUCCG